GCUGCAAUGCUCUAUUUUUUUCAGAUCCUGACAAUCCUUUUACAGCAACCGUUCCUUACACUGACUACAGGAAGUGCUUCAUUCUGAAAAGUGGAGAUCUCGGAGGCCAGUGCAUGCUAUGGGUCAACAAUGCAUAUAAGGACAACUACCCUCGUAAGUGCGUACGAAAA